UUAUUUGUUUGUUAUCAUCUUCUUCUAAAAUACAAACCAUAGGCAAUUUUUGCAGUGAUUGGAACGGAAGCAAACGCGAACAUAACGGCAAUAUAGAUAUAUUUUUUACAUGUUUAGUUUACACAAUAAAUAUUAUCAUAACGGCGCUAUAGCAACUAUUUGACAAUAUUUUAUACUACAUAGCUGAUCGUGAAAGAAUGUCGGUUUGUCAAAAUUCUGAUAUGCUAUAAUGGUAUAGCGCUGCUAUAGCUUUUAUUUAACACCAAUGUUUUUAGUAUAACAAAAACAAAUUUUCACGGUCUUUAGUUUCACCUUUUCGGUCUUUCAGGUUGCUCUUGAUUCAGCAGUUCAAGUUGUUGUUGAUGGAGGUAUAGUAACGUGUACUGAAUCAGAUACGGCUGUACCCUACGGAGGUGCUUCAUAGAUGCGGUGAAGAGAAAGGAGUCGUAGACGAGUCUGACCGUUUCAUGACGGACCCUGUUUCUUUCAUGUCAAUAUUUGCAAACAAUUGGUCUCUUCCCAGUCACAUUGUUUUAUUUGAUUCAGAAGAGCAACAAUUGAGUAGCUUCUUAAUUUCAUAAUAUGGCAUCUGCCAUUAAUAUAUGUGGUCGUUACUCAUUAGAUCACAUAUGCCAAUUUACUUGAUUUCUUGCAUAUCUAAAUUACGUCUCUAUUGAAAGUUAGUCCUUAUAUUUCUGAUAAUUGUCUUUUUAUCUUAUCAUAUCAGCCAAAGGGUUUUUGAACUCACAAGGAGUGGGAGUUCUACUGAGUCUUUCAAGUCCGAAGGAAUUGUUUUAUCAUGUUUUGAUGCUCCUAAAGGAAAUGCGAACAAAGAUUGUCAGGAAGCUUCUGCUUGCCGAAGUAAAACAGAUAUAGAGUAUAGACAAUCACUUACUUUUAGGAAAAGAUCAUGAAAGUAAGAGUGUGCCAUAUGAGUUGUACAAAAAGCACACAACUGUAUUUGUUAAGAGAGAAACUUUUCUAGAUAUUGUCUAUGAUGUUCUUACUGACUACAAGUAUGUGGGUCCAAACCAGAGCGCCGACUUGAUGCUAGCUUGCAACUUUUAAGAGAGUUUCACGACUCUAACUGAUGCCUUUAAGAUUGCAAGUUAAUUCUCAUCAUCUAAAUGUAGCUUCUCAAGAUUCCUGCCUUCCAAAAUGGUUGUGUUGUGUUAGAUCACCUAGCUUGUACAUGCUAAAACUCUUUUACAUUUAAAUGCAACUUCUCAAGAGUCGAGAUACAUAUUUACAUGGUAGUUAUACAGAUUUGAUCUGAUACAACCAAGUUUGUACCUAUUAGAACUGGCUCUAGAACUAUCCUCUCAUUUGUUGUAUAUCAGCUAGAGUACAUGCAAUCUAAAUCUAAAAGUCAUGUCAA